CACGUAGGGGGCAAGCGUUGUCCGGAAUCAUUGGGCGUAAAGAGCGUGUAGGCGGCCCGGUAAGUCCGCUGUGAAAGUCCAGGGCUCAACCCUGGGAUGCCGGUGGAUACUGUCGGGCUCGAGUCCGGAAGAGGAGUGUGGAAUUCCUGGUGUAGCGGUGAAAUGCGCAGAUAUCUGGAGGAACACCGGUGGCGAAGGCGGCGAUCCUGGACCGGUAUUGACGCUGAGGCGCGAAAGCUAGGGGAGCAAACGGG
rnacentral:rRNA from 1 species